rnacentral:lncRNA from 1 species
UUUUUGUGGACCUGUGGGCUCAAAUGAGAGAGGCCCAAGUCCAAAAAAUUUCUGUUAUAUCUUUUUUUUUUGUUUUUUUUUUCUUUAUUUUUUUUUCGUUUUUUCGUUUUUUUUUUUGUUUUUCGUUCUUUUUUUUUUGUUUUAAACACGUGGGCUUCGCCUAGCGAGCAUGACAGUUCAAGAAAUUCCUCUGAGCGUAGGUGAUUUUGGUGGCUUUUCUUGGGACUCGCUAGGCGACCCAUUCUGCUCGCCUAGCG